UAAUACGUAGGGUGCAAGCGUUGUCCGGAAUUAUUGGGCGUAAAGAGCUCGUAGGCGGUUUGUCGCGUCUGCUGUGAAAACUCAGGGCUUAACCCUGAGCCUGCAGUGGGUACGGGCAGACUAGAGUGUGGUAGGGGAGAUCGGAAUUCCUGGUGUAGCGGUGGAAUGCGCAGAUAUCAGGAGGAACACCGGUGGCGAAGGCGGAUCUCUGGGCCAUAACUGACGCUGAGGAGCGAAAGCAUGGGGAGCGAACAGGAUUAGAUACCCUGGUAGUCCAUGCCGUAAACGUUGGGCGCUAGGUGUGGGGCUCAUUCCACGAGUUCCGUGCCGCAGCUAACGCAUUAAGCGCCCCGCCUGGGGAGUACGGCCGCAAGGCUA
rnacentral:rRNA from 1 species